AGAGCGUAUGGUGGAUGCCUUGGCACUAAGAGCCGAUGAAAGACGUGAUAAGCUGCGAAAAGCUUCGGGGAGGGGCAAAUACCCAUCGAUCCGGAGAUUUCUGAAUGGGGAAACCUAACUGAGCAAACCUCAGUUAUCCUGACGCCAAUCCAUAACGUCAGGAAGGGAACCCGGUGAACUGAAACAUCUAAGUAGCCGGAGGAAGAGAAAACAACAUGUGAUUCUGUGAGUAGCGGCGAGCGAAAACGGAAGAGCCCAAACCGGGAUGCGUGCAUCCCGGGGUUCGGACCGCGGAAUUGAUUCAACAAGUUUAGCAGAACAGUUUUGGGAAAGCUGACCAAAGAGGGUGAAAGUCCCGUAAGCGAAAGGCGAGUUGACAUGGCGGUAUCCAGAGUAGGUCGAGACACGUGGAACCUUGACUGAAUAUGCGGGGACCACCCCGUAAGGCUAAAUACUCCUUAGUGACCGAUAGCGCAUAGUACUGUGAAGGAAAGGUGAAAAGGACCCCGGGAGGGGAGUGAAAAAGAACCUGAAACCAUAUGUUUACAAGCUGUGGAACAUCUUUAUAUGAUGAACCGCGUACUUUUUGUAGAACGGUCCGGCGAGUUACGCUGGCUGGCGAGGUUAAGCACUGAAGGUGCGGAGCCGAAGGGAAACCAAGUCUGAACAGGGCGAAAGUCAGUCGGAGUAGACCCGAAACCGGGUGAUCUAUCCAUGUCCAGGUUGAAGUUGCCGUAAAAGGCAAUGGAGGACCGAACCCACAUCCGUUGAAAAGGGUGGGGAUGAGGUGUGGAUAGGGGAGAAAUUCCAAUCGAACCCGGAGAUAGCUGGUUCUCCUCGAAAUAGCUUUAGGGCUAGCCUCAUACAAGUCUUGCGGAGGUAGAGCACUGAAUUCCUACGGGGGCGUCAAAGCUUACCAAGGGAUAUCAAACUCCGAAUGCCGUGUAGAUGAUGUAUGGGAGUCAGACUAUCCGAGAUAAGUUGGGUAGUCGAAAGGGAAAGAGCCCAGACCUGCAGCUAAGGCCCCAAAAUGUGUGUUAAGUGGAAAAGGAUGUGGGAUUUCGAAGACAACUAGGAUGUUGGCUUAGAAGCAGCCAUCCAUUAAAAGAGUGCGUAAUAGCUCACUAGUCGAGAGGUCCUGCGCCGAAAAUGUCCGGGGCUGAAACACACUGCCGAAGCUCAGGAAUCUGCGAAUGCAGGUUGGUAGAGGAGCAUUCUUAAAGAGACGAAGCUGUACCGAAAGGAGCAGUGGAUUUUUAAGAAGAGAGAAUGCCGGAAUGAGUAGCGAGAAAGAGGUGAGAAUCCUCUUGGCCGAAUAUCUAAGGUUUCCAGGGUAAAGCUGAUCUGCCCUGGGUAAGUCGGGGCCUAAGGCGAGGUCGAAAGACGUAGUCGAUGGAUAACAGGUAGAAAUUCCUGUACUGCUGUACAACAGAACUGUGGGGACGCAGAAAGAGAGCGCGAGCCGGGAAUGGAGAGACCGGUGCAAGCGGGGUAGGAGUGUGUCAGGAAAACCCGGCACACAAUCCGAAGACGUGAUGCGGAGCGAAAGCAUAGUAGCGAAGCGCGUGAGCUGGCUGCCAAGAAAAGCCGCUAUUGUUUGUAGAGUACCCGUACCGUAAACCGACACAGGUGGAUGAGGAGAGAAUCCUAAGGCCGACGGGAGAAGCAUUGUUAAGGAACUCGGCAAAAUGACUCCGUAACUUCGGGAGAAGGAGUGCCAUGCGAAUGGCCGCAGAGAAUUGGCCCAAGCAACUGUUUAGCAAAAACACAGGUCUAUGCGAAACCGAAAGGUGAGGUAUAUGGGCUGACGCCUGCCCGGUGCUGGAAGGUUAAGGGGAGAGGUUAGCGCAAGCGAAGCUUUGAACUUAAGCCCCAGUAAACGGCGGCCGUAACUAUAACGGUCCUAAGGUAGCGAAAUUCCUUGUCGGGUAAGUUCCGACCCGCACGAAAGGCGUAAUGAUUUGGGCACUGUCUCAACAAUGCACCCGGUGAAAUUGAAAUACCAGUGAAGAUGCUGGUUACCUGCGCCAGGACGGAAAGACCCCAUGGAGCUUUACUCCAGCUUGAUACUGGGAUUCG
rnacentral:rRNA from 1 species